rnacentral:rRNA from 1 species
GAUGAACGCUGGCGGCGUGCCUAAUACAUGCAAGUCGAGCGAACGGACGAGAAGCUUGCUUCUCUGAUGUUAGCGGCGGACGGGUGAGUAACACGUGGAUAACCUACCUAUAAGACUGGGAUAACUUCGGGAAACCGGAGCUAAUACCGGAUAAUAUUUUGAACCGCAUGGUUCAAAAGUGAAAGACGGUCUUGCUGUCACUUAUAGAUGGAUCCGCGCUGCAUUAGCUAGUUGGUAAGGUAACGGCUUACCAAGGCAACGAUGCAUAGCCGACCUGAGGGGGUGGUCGGCCACCCUGGAACUGAGACACGGUCCAGACUCCUACGGGAGGCAGCAGUAGGGAAUCUUCCGCAAUGGGCGAAAGCCUGACGGAGCAACGCCGCGUGAGUGAUGAAGGUCUUCGGAUCGUAAAACUCUGUUAUUAGGGAAGAACAUAUGUGUAAGUAACUGUGCACAUCUUGACGGUACCUAAUCAGAAAGCCACGGCUAACUACGUG